rnacentral:rRNA from 1 species
CUUUAUACUGUGAACUGCGAAUGGCUCAUUAAAUCAGUUAUCGUUUAUUUGAUAGUACCUUACUACAUGGAUACCUGUGGUAAUUCUAGAGCUAAUACAUGCUAAAAACCUCGACUUCGGAAGGGGUGUAUUUAUUAGAUAAAAAACCAAUGCCCUUCGGGGCUCCUUGGUGAUUCAUAAUAACUUAACGAAUCGCAUGGCCUUGCGCCGGCGAUGGUUCAUUCAAAUUUCUGCCCUAUCAACUUUCGAUGGUAGGAUAGUGGCCUACCAUGGUGGCAACGGGUAACGGGGAAUUAGGGUUCGAUUCCGGAGAGGGAGCCUGAGAAACGGCUACCACAUCCAAGGAAGGCAGCAGGCGCGCAAAUUACCCAAUCCCGACACGGGGAGGUAGUGACAAUAAAUACUGAUACGGGGCUCUUUUGGGUCUCGUAAUUGGAAUGAGUACAAUCUAAAUCCCUUAACGAGGAACAAUUGGAGGGCAAGUCUGGUGCCAGCAGCCGCGGUAAUUCCAGCUCCAAUAGCGUAUAUUAAAGUUGUUGCAGUUAAAAAGCUCGUAGUUGAACCUUGGGUCUGGCUGGCCGGUCCGCCUCACCGCGAGUACUGGUCCGGCUGGACCUUUCCUUCUGGGGAACCCCAUGGCCUUCACUGGCUGUGGGGGAACCAGGACUUUUACUGUGAAAAAAUUAGAGUGUUCAAAGCAGGCCUUUGCUCGAAUACAUUAGCAUGGAAAUAAUAGAAUAGGACGUGCGGGUUCUAUUUUGUUGGUUUCUAGGACCGCCGUAAUGAUUAAUAGGGAUAGUCGGGGGCGUCAGUAUUCAGCUGUCAGAGGUGAAAUUCU